rnacentral:rRNA from 1 species
GGCUCAGGAUGAACGCUAGCGGCAGGCUUAACACAUGCAAGUCGAGGGGCAGCAUGAAGGUUAGCAAUAACCUUUGAUGGCGACCGGCGCAAGGGUGCGUAACGCGUGAGCAACUUGCCCGUUUCUGGGGAAUAACCGGUGGAAACGCCGACUAAUACCCCAUAGCAUUGAUUUCAGGCAUCUGUUAUCAAUUAAAGAAUUUCGGAAACGGAUAGGCUCGCGUGACAUUAGCUAGAUGGCGGGGUAACGGCCCACCAUGGCUACGAUGUCUAGGGGUUCUGAGAGGAAGGUCCCCCACACUGGAACUGAGACACGGUCCAGACUCCUACGGGAGGCAGCAGUGAGGAAUAUUGGUCAAUGGUCUGACGACUGAACCAGCCAUGCCGCGUGAAGGUGACGGCCCUAUGGGUCUUAAACUUCUUUUGUAAGGGAGCAAUAAGGUCUACGUGUAGAUUGAUGAGAGUACCUUACGAAUAAGCAUCGGCUAACUCCGUG